ensembl:lncRNA
AUUUCAGUACAGAACCCAUAGGAAGUUGCGCAUGCGCGACUGAACGAACCACUCCCUGAGAUGACUCGUUCGUCCCGAGUCACAUUAAAGAUUCAUUCAAAAUGAACGAAUCAUUCAAGAAUGACCCAUCACUAGAUGAGAAGCAAAACACAGUAGGAGAGGUGUGGUGCAGUGCAUGACUGUGUGAAGGCCUGGAUGAUUAUUGUGUAAGGAGGUAAAAACAAUCUGAUUUCUGUAUCAUUCCGUUUUUAGGUCUAUUGUAAACUCAUAUAGUCUGCAUGUGUGAUUGUGUCAUCUCCGAGGCCUCUGAGCUCUCCUCUAUGAAGCCCCAGCUGGAUGAACUUAGGAUCAUUCUGUAUGCUGUUGUUAAGGAAGACACAGGCACAGAAAUACAGAACAUCAAGAAGCUCUUCACUGGAGAAAUCUUUGUGGAUGUGCAGAGGUUAGACAGGCUAGUCCUCCUCCAACAGAACGCGUCUGUCCCACAUCAGAGUUUAACAGCCGACUGACACAGAGCCGCUGAACUGUCUGUAGGCGUAAGUAUUAUUCGUUUGGAUCUGUUUUUAACCCUUGUGCAUUAAUGCAGAUAAUAAUGUUUAUAAUAUUCUUAUAUUGUCAAUGCUUGUAUCUGGCAUUUCAACAACAACCUAACUCUCUGGCUAGUCAAACAAGCUAGCCAGCAGGUGUUAGCGCAAUGUACCUGAUUAGCCUCCUGUGCCAGCACUGCACAGUAUAAAGUCAUCUCCAUACUGACCCAGCCAUGCUUUAGUAUCCUUUUAGUACCCUUACGUUUAAUUAGCAUUAAUUAGUCGAUUUUGCAUCGGGUUAUCUAAUACGUCAGCAAGCAAUAAGUUAUAACUUACCCAUAAUUUUUAAUUCUCUACACUUCCAGGCCAAAUGUAAGCUGGUUAGACUAGAGGAUUGUGAUACUCUUUUGUUUCUGGAGUUCUGUAAAGUAACGAGUGACAGAAAUCAGCACAAGUGUCUAGGAUAAGAGUUUAUUGGCAGUCAUGUCAACCUAAAUAUAAUUUUAACGUGUGCCUAUCUAAAAAUGAAUUUUGCAGUUCACACUUUGUUGUUUUUUCCCUUUUCGCGAGGUAAAUUACAGUUUUUCUAAUCAGGAAACCCUCAAAUAUGCAUUCUGGGAGGAGAAUAAACAUUUUUUUUAAAAGCUGUGCAGACCUUUAAUUAGGUAAAUCAUACCUGUAAUUAAGAGCAAGCUGCAGAGAUGUACAGUAUAUGUAUGCUCUUGUGAAAAUGAAGUGCACUAAUUGUAUGUGGACUUGGAAGUGUACUUCAAACACUGAAAAUUAAAAACUGUCGUUGCCAUUUAAGUGUACUUAAACAGAACACUUUCAUGACUGUUUCUUAACACACUGAAGUACAAUUUUAAAAAGAAAUAGCCUUAUUUUUGUAUUACUAAUGUACACAUGUAAAGUACUUGAUCAUAGUUUUAACUGUAGUGUUAUACACUAUUGCAAAUUGCAACUUAAUCAUGACGAUUAUAUAAUUACAUAAUAUACACAUUUUAAUUGAAAAUAUAAUCAAGUACAUUUUAGAUUACCAUAAUUGUUUGUCAGUACAAUCGACAGUAAAAUUUCAACCAUAUUUCAAAGAAUUAUGGAAUUACAUAUAAAGAUGUACUUAAGUCCUUUAGCUGAUUGCAUUUAAUAUAAAUUUUUAUUUAAUUGCAACUAACAUGCAAUUAAAUGUCCAAAAACUAUUCUUUUGACCGUUCUUUUUUAAGUAUUUUAUUUCAGAAGUAAUAAAAGCUUACUUCUUUUUCACAUGUUUACACCCAGAGAGUCCUUAUUUUUGUGUUUCAUUUUUGUUUUAGGAUUAUUUUAAAUUUGAAAGAAUUUUUUUUUUUUUUUUUGAGGUAUUACCUACAUUGAGAGGUAAAGCACUACUUUCCUUUCCUCUCCAGAGCUUUC